rnacentral:rRNA from 2 species
AUUAUGGAGAGUUUGAUCCUGGCUCAGGAUGAACGCUGGCGGCGUGCCUAAUACAUGCAAGUCGAGCGAACAGA